rnacentral:tRNA from 1 species
UCCUCAAUAGCUCAGUCGGUAGAGCAUACGGCUGUUAACCGCAGGGUCGUUGGUUCGAGUCCAACUUGGGGAGCCA